AUCAACGCUGGCGGCGUGCCUAACACAUGCAAGUCGAACGCGAAAGGGGAGCAAUCCCUGAUUAGAGUGGCAAACGGGUGAGUAACACGUGGGCGACCUGCCUUCGAGUGGGGGAUAACCUUCCGAAAGGAGGGCUAAUACCGCAUGACAUACCGUGUUUGGAUACACGGAUAUCAAAGCCGGGGAUCGCAAGACCUGGCGCUUGAAGAGGGGCCCGCGUCCGAUUAGCUAGUUGGUGUGGUAACGGCUCACCAAGGCUCCGAUCGGUAUCCGGCCUGAGAGGGCGGACGGACACACUGGAACUGAGACACGGCCCAGACUCCUACGGGAGGCAGCAGUGGGGAAUCUUGCGCAAUGGGCGAAAGCCUGACGCAGCAACGCCGCGUGGGGGAUGAAUGCCUUCGGGUUGUAAACCCCUUUCAGCAGGGACGAAAAUGACGGUACCUGCAGAAGAAGCCCCGG
rnacentral:rRNA from 1 species